GGAGCCUGUGGCUUAAUUUGACCUAACACGGGGAAACUGACCAGGUCCAGACAUAGUAAGGAUUGACAUACUGAAAGUUCUUUCUUGUUUCUAUGGGUGGUGUUGCAUGACUUCUCUUAUUUGGUAGAGCGAUUCGUCUAGUUAAUCCCAUUAAUGAACAAGACCUCAGCCUGCUAAGUAGCUACAUAGAGGUAUCCUCCACUACCAGCUUCUUCGAAGGACGAGGCCAUUUAGGCCACGAAAGUUUAGGCAAUAAUAGAUCUACGAUGCCCAAAGAUAGAAUAGGGCCGCAUGCGUGCUAC
rnacentral:ncRNA from 1 species